rnacentral:rRNA from 1 species
GCUGGCGGCGUGCUUAACACAUGCAAGUCGAACGAUGAAACCUAGCAAUCUUUGGUUGUUGGGUGGAUUAGUGGCGAACGGGUGAGUAAUACGUGGGUAACCUGCCCUCCUUUUUGGGAUAAGCCUUGGAAACGGGGUCUAAUACCGAAUAUUCUGGAUGAUUCGCAUGGAUUGUUUGGGAAAGCUUUUGUGAAGGGGGAUGGGCUCGCGGCCUAUCAGCUUGUUGGUGGGGUGAUGGCCUACCAAGGCGGUGACGGGUAGCCGGCCUGAGAGGGUGACCGGCCACAUUGGGACUGAGAUACGGCCCAGACUCCUACGGGAGGCAGCAGUGGGGGAUAUUGCACAAUGGGCGAAAGCCUGAUGCAGCGACGCCGCGUGGGGGAUGAAGGCUUUCGGGUUGUAAACCUCUUUCGCUAUCGAACAAGGCUCACUAUAGGGUGGGUUGAGGGUAGGUGGAGAAGAAGCGCCGGCUAACUA